rnacentral:rRNA from 1 species
UACGGAGGGGGCUAGCGAUGUUCGGAAUUACUGGGCGUAAAGCGGGUGUAGGCGGAUCUCUAAGUCGGAGGUGAAAGCCCGGGGCUUAACCUCGGAAUGGCCUACGAUACUGGAGAUCUCGAGUUCAGGAGAGGUGAGUGGAAUUCCGAGUGUAGAGGUGAAAUUCGUAGAUAUUCGGGGGAACACCAGAGGCGAAGGCGGCUCACUGGACUGAUACUGACGCUGAAACCCGAAAGCGUGGGGAGCAAACAGG